AGUAAAGUGUAGUGUAGUGGUUUGAGUGUUGGAUUACAACUCUGGAGACCAGGGUUCAAUUCCCAGCUUAAUCA